rnacentral:tRNA from 1 species
AUUUAUAUAAUAUAAAUAUUAAGUAUAAUUGAUUUCCAAUCAAUAAGUCUAAUUAAAUUUAGUAUAAAUA